AGCGAAGUGCGAAGGGUUUAGCGUAACAGCGAAGUAAACAUAUUCGAGAAGCGCGAUUGUUGAUUGUUGACUGUUAAUUGUUAAAUAAACUUUAUUGUUGAACAUCGAGAGUAUUUCUUGGGCACUUACACCUUAAACCACCUCAUAUUUAUGAAAGUCAUAAUUUCCUGGAUUGCCGCUAAUUAUUAUCGACGUUGGUGCUUGGCCCCUUAGGCUCUUUGUAUUAAUUAUCUGGUAACGAGAUUCUUUCAUGCGAUGCUCCUCGUUGUUAACCGGUUACUUCCGUUCCACUGCAUUUUCAUUCGCGCG
rnacentral:misc_RNA from 1 species